UUUAUUAAUACAGUAACAUAGGCGCUUAUUCCACAUUCUUUGUGACACUAUUCAAACACCAAGAUGCAGUACGCCCAAGUUCUAAGUUGCCUCAUUAUAUACAUCCUGCACAUCGUUCUCGUGAACCCACCCUACAAACAUAAAAUAGAGAGACCCUCGUUGUGGGCCCGUUAGACAACUCAUCUACCGAGGACUGCUAUAUGCAAAA